UACAGAGGGGGCUAGCGUUGUUCGGAAUUACUGGGUGUAAAGGGUGCGCAGGUGGUUAGUUAAGUCUGAUGUGAAAUCCCUGGGCCCAACUCAGGAACUGCAUUGGAAACUGGCUAGCUUUGAGUACCGGAGAGGGAAGCGGAAUUCCUGGUGUAGCGGUGAAAUGCGUAGAUACCAGGAGGAACACCGGUGGCGAAGGCGGCUUCCUGGCCGAGUACUGACGCUCAUGCACGAAAGCGUGGGGAGCAAACGGG
rnacentral:rRNA from 1 species